rnacentral:misc_RNA from 1 species
CGCACAUUGCGCCCCCUGGUAUUCCAAGGGGCACGCCUGUUCGAGCGUCAUAACACCCCUCAGACCCCGCUGGGUCUGGUCUUGGGCGGAUGCCCCCCCGGCCUCCGGGCCCAGGGGGCAGGCCCCAAACGUGUCGGCGGCGGUACUGUAUUCCGCGAGCGUGACGGACUCACGACCUACGUGGGCGGUCCGCCGGCCCAACCCCAUCCCACGGCCCCUGGCGGCCGCGUUUAUUGGACCUCGGAUCAGGCGGGGAUACCCGCUGAACUUAA